UAUUGGACAGGAAACAAUUCAAGUUCAAACAAUCCAAGAGUCUGCCACCUGCCAGACCAACCUCUGUUCUAGGAAGAAAUACUUACAGAUCUGGUGGUGACUACUCGGAUGAAAAGCAUAUGGGCCACUUUUCUUCUUUAAAUAAAAAUAAAAUAAAACUCA